rnacentral:tRNA from 1 species
UACUUGUUUGGUAUAGUAUAUCAUUCGUAAUGAAGGGGUCGGAGGUUCAAAUCCUCUCGGUG